rnacentral:rRNA from 1 species
GACGAACGCUGGCGGCGUGCUUAACACAUGCAAGUCGAACGGAAAAGCCCUGCUUUUGUGGGGUGCUCGAGUGGCGAACGGGUGAGUAACACGUGAGUAACCUGCCCUUGACUUUGGGAUAACUUCAGGAAACUGGGGCUAAUACCGGAUAGGAGCUCCUGCUGCAUGGUGGGGGUUGGAAAGUUUCGGCGGUUGGGGAUGGACUCGCGGCUUAUCAGCUUGUUGGUGGGGUAGUGGCUUACCAAGGCUUUGACGGGUAGCCGGCAUGAGAGGGUGACCGGCCACAUUGGGACUGAGAUACGGCCCAGACUCCUACGGGAGGCAGCAGUGGGGAAUAUUGCACAAUGGGCGGAAGCCUGAUGCAGCAACGCCGCGUGCGGGAUGACGGCCUUCGGGUUGUAAACCGCUUUCGCCUGUGACCAAGCGUGAGUGACGGUAAUGGGUAAAGAAGCACCGGCUAACUACGUG